UACGUAGGGUGCAAGCGUUAAUCGGAAUUACUGGGCGUAAAGCGUGCGCAGGCGGUUAUGCAAGACAGAUGUGAAAUCCCCGGGCUCAACCUGGGAACUGCAUUUGUGACUGCAUGGCUAGAGUACGGUAGAGGGGGAUGGAAUUCCGCGUGUAGCAGUGAAAUGCGUAGAUAUGCGGAGGAACACCGAUGGCGAAGGCAAUCCCCUGGACCUGUACUGGCGCUCAUGCACGAAAGCGUGGGGAGCAAACAGG
rnacentral:rRNA from 1 species